rnacentral:rRNA from 1 species
AUUGAACGCUGGCGGCAGGCUUAACACAUGCAAGUCGGACGAGUUGCGGACGGGUGAGUAACAUCUCGGAAAGUGCCGUAUGGAGGGGGAUAACUAUCGGAAAGGGUAGCUAAUACCGCAUAAAAUCAGAUCUGCCCAGUGUGGAUUAGCUUGUCGGGGGGGUAAAGGCUCACCAAGGCGACGAUCCCGAGCUGGUCUGAGAGGAUGACCAGCCACACGGGAACUGAGACACGGUCCAGACUCCUACGGGAGGCAGCAGUGGGGAAUAUUGCACAAUGGGCGCAAGCCUGAUGCAGCCAUGCCGCGUGUAUGAAGAAGGCCUUCGGGUUGUAAAGUACUUUCAGCGGGGAGGCGUUACCCGCAGAAGAAGCACCGGCUAACUCCGUGCCAGCAGCCGCGGUAAUUC